rnacentral:lncRNA from 1 species
UAAGCCAUCAAACAUACUUGGGAAGGAUGGGCACCUGGGUGGGACGACGCUGAGUUAUGUGAUUUGGGCUAGGCGCACUGUCAAUGCGUGGAUGUGACCUGCUCUGGCUGACCCGUAGACCCCCGAUGCUCUCUGCUUAGUCGCACACCUCGCUACUCGCCACCCAUGCCGUGUUGUUGUGCCCAGCUCGUUCAACUCGUAGCCACUGUCAUUGCCGUGCCUCGACGCGCAACAUGUUGCCCACCAGGCUCAAACUGCGUGGGUUUGCCUUUCCUGGGAUGACCCGUGGGCACUCGAUGCGCUGUGCCUAGGUGCACACCUCAAUGCUCGCCACCCAUGCAGCGUUGUUGUGCCUAGCUCGUUCAACUCGUAGGCACUCGCAGCGCCUUGCCUAGACGCACAACCCGUUGACCACCAGACGCAUAUUGCAUGGGUGUGCCUUGCCUUAGCUGACCACUGGAGCCUUGAUGCGUUGUACCGAGGCGCACUGCUUAGUGAUAACCACCCAUAUCGCGUCGGUGUUCCCAGCUCAUGCAACCUAUAGGCAAUUGUUGCGCUGUGCUUAGGCACACACCUUGGUGCACACCAGGCAUACUAUGUGGGUGUCCCUAGCUCGGCGACCGGUAGGCCCUCGCGAUGCCGUGUAUUUAGGUGCACACCUCGUUGCUCACCAGGCAAACUUCUUGGGUGUGCCUUGCUCGAGCAACCCGUAGGCCAUCGAGGAGCCGUGUGCCUAGGCGCACAACAUGGAGCCCUAAACCCUUGCUGUGUGGGUGUGCCUAGCUCGUUCAUCCCACUGGCCCUCGAGGCCCCCUGCCAUCAACCAUGAGAGUGGUGGUGAUGCACCCAAGGAUGUAAUGUUGUGCAUUGAGGUGGUAUGGGUCGUGAUGGGGUCAAAUAUAUGCUAGUUUGAACCCCAACAGGUACCAUUCAGAAACUCCAGAUGUUUUAAGCCAUCCAACAUACUUGGGAAGGAUGGGUUCCGGGGUGGAACAAGGCUGGGGUACGUGAUUUGGGGUAGCCGUGCUACCAACGCAUGGGUGUGACCUGCUCUGGCUGACCCGUAGACCCCUGAUGCGCUCUGCCUAGUCACACACCUCGCUGCUAGCCACCCAUGCCGCGUUGUUGUGCCCAGCUCGUUCAACCCGUAAGCACUCACAGCGCCGUGCCUUGGCGCGCAACCCAUUGCCCACCAUGCUCAUACUACGUGGGUUUUUCUUUCUUGGGAUGACUCGUGGGCACUUGAUGUGUUGUGCCUAGGCGCACACCUCAGUGCUCACCACCCAUGCCUCGUUGAUGUUCCCAGCUUGUGUGACCUGUAGGCAAUUGCCUAGGCACACACCUUGGUGCACACCAUUCAUACUACGUGGGUGUCUCUGUCUCGGCGACCGGCAGACCCUCGUGAUGCCGUGUACCUAGGUGCACACCUCGGUGCCCACCUGGCAAACUGCGUGGGUGUGCCUUGCUUGGGCAACCCGUAGGCCAUCGCAGCGCUGUGUGCUUAGGCGCACACCAUGGAGCCCCAAACCCAUGCUGCGUGGGUGUGCCUAGGUCGUUUCCCACCAGCCCUUAAGGCCCCCUACCUUCAACCGUGUGUGUGGUGGUGAUGCACCCAAGGAUGCAACGUUGUUCAUUGAGAUGGUAUGUGAUGGGGUCAAAUAUGUGCUAGUUUGACCCCCAACAGGUGUCACUCAGGAAGUUCAGGUGUUUUAAGCCGUCAAACAUACUUGGAAAGGAUGGGCACCUGGGUGAGACGAGGCUGAGGUACAUGAUUUGGGUUAGACGUGCUGCCAAUGCAUGGGUGUGACCUGCUCUAGCUGACCCGUAGACCCUAGAUGCACUUUGCGUAGUCUCACACCUCGGUGCUGGCCACCCAUGCAUCGUUGUUGUGCCAAGCUCAUUCAACCCUUAGGCAGACACAGUGCCAUGCCUAGGCGUGCAACCCGUAGCCCACCAGGCUCAUGAUGUGUGGGUUUGCCUUUCCUGGGAUGGCCCGUGGGCACUUGAAGCGUUUUGCCUAGGCACACACAUCAGUGCUCACCACCCAUACCGCGUGGGUGUUUCCAGCUCAUGCAACCUAUAGGCAAUUGUUGCACUGUGCCUAGGCCAGGCAGACUGCGUGGGUGUCCCUAUCUCUGCGACUGGCAGGCGCUCUCGAUGCCGUGUACCUAGGUGCACACCUUGGUGCCCAUCAUGUAAACUGCGUGUGUGCCUUGCUCGGGCAACCCUUAGGCCAUCGCAGCGCCAUGUACCUAGGCACACAACAUGGAGUCCUCAACCCUUGCUGCGUGGGUGUGCCUAGCUCGUUCAUCCCACCGGCCCUCGAGGUCCCAUGCCUUCAACCAUGCAUGUGGUGAUGAUGCACCCAAGGAUGCAACGUUGUGCAUUGAGAUUGUAUGUGUCGUGAUGGGGUCAAAUAUAGGUUAGUUUGACCCCCAACAGGUGUCACUCAGGAGGUCCAGAUGUUUUAAGCCAUCAAACAUACUUGGGAAGGAUGGGCACCUGGGUGGGACGAGGCUGAUGUAUGUGAUUUGGGCUAGGCGUGCUGCCAAUGCUUGGGUGUGACCUGCUCUGGCUGACCCGUAGACCCCUGAUGCUCUGUGCCUAGUUGCACACCUCGUUGCUCGCCGCCCAUGUCACGUUGUUAUGCCCAGCUCGUUCAACCCGUAGCCACUCGCAGCGCCGUGCCUCGACACGCAACCCGUUGCCCACCAGGCUCAUACUAAGUGGGUUUGCCUUUCCUGGGAUGACCCGUGGGCACUCGAUGCGCUGUGCCUAGGUGCACACCUCAAUGCUCGGCACCCAUACCGCGUGGGUGUUCCCACCUCAUGCAACCUGUAGGCACUUACGGCGUUGUGCCUAGGCACACACGUUGGUGCCUACCUGGCGUACUUUGUAGAAGUGCUUAGCUUGGCUAUCGAUAGGUGCUGGUGACACCGUGAGCUUAGGAACACACCUCGGUGCCCACCAGCCAUACAACAUCGGUGUGCCUUGCCCCGAGGACCCUCCAUGCACUGUGCCUAGUCGCACACCUCCGUGCUCAGCACCCAUAUCGCGUGGAUGUUCCCAGGCCGUGCAACCUGCAUGCACCUGUAGCACUGUGCCAAGGCACACACCUUGGUGUCCAUUGUGCCUUGAUGCACACCUCGUUGCCUCCUUCUCAUGACGUGUGUGUAAUGCCCUAGGCCCUCGCGACACCGUACGUAGACACGUACCUCGAUGCCAACCAUCCACGCCACACAGCGCACUAUGGUGUGCUCCAGGCCGCCCCAUCCCACCUCACCAGCUAUUCCGAUGGACUAGGACGGGCCCACACCGUCUUAUGGUCCAGGAUGGGCAGUGCAGGAGCUUGAGGUCCAAUGCUCCAAGGUGAGUUUGUGCUCGGAAAGCUGAUUUGGACACAUGUCCUUGUGCACUGGGCAUGGUGGUGUGGUGGGAUGGGUUGCCGUUUAGGAAAAAAAGUGUAUGCUAGAUUCAAUGGAAUAGCAACCACUCUUGAAUUUUUGAUGUUUUAAGCUAUCAAACAUAGUUGGGGAGAGUCGGAUCUGGGUAAACGCAUGCGUCUCCUGCCUCCCCUUGGACACAUGCAAACACUUGUAGGGAAUGAAUGUCGACCUCCAUGUGGAUCCGAUCUACAAGGCAGCAAGAUGACGAUGUGCUUCCGGGUGCGGCUAGGGAAGCUAUCUCGACUGCUGUACAUCUGCGUCUAAGACGUGAUAUACCGGCCAAAGCAGCCAGAACAAGUCUUGCUUCCCUCCCUGACAAGAUCCGCUUUGGAUGACGAUGGCGUGGCAGUCCUGAGGUUGAGCCGUUGCUUUCGUGGUGCAAUAUGGCACCAUGUGCAUUGUCCCGAUCGAAGAGUUUGGGCAGUGAACGACGGUUUCCCUCGACACCGAUCCUAGUGCUGUAUGUUGGGCGAGGAGGUGGGGAUGUCUUGACACUAUGUCGUCGUGUCUCUAAGACGUGAUAUGGCACCAACAAUUGCAGCCAGAUGAAGUCCUUCUUCCUUUCUUAACAUGACUCCCCUCUGGAUGAUGGCGGGUUGGCAAGCCUGAGGCUGCGCCAUUGCGUCCCUAGCGCAAUAUGGCAUGUGCCGAUCAACGAGCUUUAGCAGUGGAUGGCGGUCGUCUAGCCACCGGACAUGAUUCAGGUCUAGGUGAUGGUGGUUGGGAUGUCUGGACGCUGCGCCGUUGCGUCACAAACGUGAUAUGGCCCAACCAUGGUAGCAAUAUGAUGUCUUGCUUCCCUCCUUGACAUGGCCCUCUUUGGAUGAUGGACGAUGGUGGGGUUGCAGGCCUGAGGCUGCGUCGUUGCGUCCCUUACGCAAUAUAGCAUGUCCCGCUAGAUGAGCUUCCGUGCUGUUUUAGUUCCUUGCCUCUUGUAUCUUUCAGGUUUUGUAAUGCCGUUCUAGUCGUGGUUUCUCGCACAUACCGACUUCUUCCAGUGCUGGCCUUCAUUCAAGUGUUGCCCAGCUCUGGUGAGUCAUGGACGUUUUACGAAUCUUGCCGCAUGAUUUUUUGGCCUCUGCCCGUGAGAUGAAUAUCGCCCAGUGCAAGCAAAUGCACCUGUGGGAGCAACGGUGUAUGGUCUUUGUUUUGGGAUGUUCUUCUCGUCUCCCCUACUAUGGUGGUAGUUGUUGUGCGUGUGCAUUCGAUACCCAUUUGAGAUGGAAGUGUAUUUUGUUCAGCUGGCGUUUGGAUUGUUGCAGUGGACCAUUGGCCCCACGGUCGCUCUCCUCGUGGGCUUGUUCUCUUACGGCACCCUUGGUACGGUUCCACUUUUCGAUUCCCCAGUUUGGUGCCAUUUGAGCUCUCCCUAUGUCUCUUGGUAUUGGAGGUUGCUUACUUGUGUGGCCUUGAGUUGGCUCACCGCAUGGACGUCCACCACUCGCCUCAUUUGGCAGCGAAAUGCAGGGCUCCAUUCGAGCCCCUACUUUAGUUCCCGUGUGGUUCCCCCAUGUCGUUUUGGGAUGCUACCUGGUUGAUCCUGCCAUUAGUCAUAUGCUUGUCUCAAAGAUUAAGCCGUGCAUGUGUAAGUAUGAACUAAUUCAGACUGUGAAACAGUGAAUGGCUCAUUAAAUCAGUUAUAGUUUAUUUGAUGGUACCUACUGCUCGGAUAACCGUAGUAAUUCUAGAGCUAAUACGUGUAAGAAAUCCCCACCUCUGGAAGGGAUGCAUUUAUUAGAUAAAAGGCCAACGCGGGCUUUGCCCGAUGCUUUGGUGAAUCAUGAUAACGUGAUGGAUCGCACGACCAUUGUGCUGGCGAUGCAUCAUUCAAAUUUUUGCCCUAUCAACUUUCGAUGGUAGGAU